rnacentral:rRNA from 1 species
AGUUAACUCUGGCGGUAGGCCUAACACAUGCAAGUCGAACGGCAGCACAGUAAGAGCUUGCUCUUACGGGUGGCGAGUGGCGGACGGGUGAGGAAUACAUCGGAAUCUACUUUUUCGUGGGGGAUAACGUAGGGAAACUUACGCUAAUACCGCAUACGACCUACGGGUGAAAGCAGGGGAUCUUCGGACCUUGCGCGAUUGAAUGAGCCGAUGUCGGAUUAGCUAGUUGGCGGGGUAAAGGCCCACCAAGGCGACGAUCCGUAGCUGGUCUGAGAGGAUGAUCAGCCACACUGGAACUGAGACACGGUCCAGACUCAUACGGGAGGCAGCAGUGGGGAAUAUUGGACAAUGGGCGCAAGCCUGAUCCAGCCAUACCGCGUGGGUGAAGAAGGCCUUCGGGUUGUAAAGCCCUUUUGUUGGGAAAGAAAAGCAGCAGGUUAAUACCCCGCUGUUCUGACGGUACCCAAAGAAUAAGCACCGGCUAACUUCGUG